rnacentral:piRNA from 1 species
CACUUGUGAUCCCAGCACUGGAAAAAUAGG